UAGCAUUUAGGAAGUGCUUAGCUGGUUAAAUCAGGUAAUCUGAAUUAAUUAGGUCGUCAUGAGCUUGCAGGUGGGAUACUUGCA
rnacentral:sRNA from 1 species